AGAGUUUGAUCCUGGCUCAGGACGAACGCUGGCGGCGUGCCUAAUACAUGCAAGUCGAGCGAGCGGAACCAACAGAUUUACUUCGGUAAUGACGUUGGGAAAGCGAGCGGCGGAUGGGUGAGUAACACGUGGGGAACCUGCCCCUAAGUCUGGGAUACCAUUUGGAAACAGGUGCUAAUACCGGAUAAUAAAGCAGAUCGCAUGAUCAGCUUUUGAAAGGCGGCGUAAGCUGUCGCUAAGGGAUGGCCCCGCGGUGCAUUAGCUAGUUGGUAAGGUAACGGCUUACCAAGGCGACGAUGCAUAGCCGAGUUGAGAGACUGAUCGGCCACAUUGGGACUGAGACACGGCCCAAACUCCUACGGGAGGCAGCAGUAGGGAAUCUUCCACAAUGGACGCAAGUCUGAUGGAGCAACGCCGCGUGAGUGAAGAAGGUUUUCGGAUCGUAAAGCUCUGUUGUUGGUGAAGAAGGAUAGAGGUAGUAACUGGCCUUUAUUUGACGGUAAUCAACCAGAAAGUCACGGCUAACUACGUGCCAGCAGCCGCGGUAAUACGUAGGUGGCAAGCGUUGUCCGGAUUUAUUGGGCGUAAAGCGAGCGCAGGCGGAAAAAUAAGUCUAAUGUGAAAGCCCUCGGCUUAACCGAGGAACUGCAUCGGAAACUGUUUUUUCUUGAGUGCAGAAAAGGAGAGUGGGAACUCCAUGUGUAGCGGUGGAAUGCGUAAAUAUAUGGAAAAAACACCAGUGGC
rnacentral:rRNA from 1 species